UACAACGAAACUGCGAAUGGCUCGGUAAAACAGCAAUAAUUUAUUCGGGGGUAAUUGCUACUUGGAUAACCGUAGUAAAGCUAGAGCUAAUACGUGCUACAAAGGCGAGAUUCGCUCUCGUGGUACUAAGUAUUAGGUACAACCCAAUUUUAUUGGUGAUUCAUACUUAUCUUCUGAUCGCACUCUGUGCGACGCCCCGAAUAAAUUUCUGACCUAUCAACUUCGAUGGUAAGGUAGUGUCUUACCAUGGUUGUGACGGGUAACGGACCGUGGGUGCGGGAUUCCGGAGAGGGAGCCUGAGAAACGGCUACCACAUCCAAGGAAGGCAGCAGGCGCGCAACUUACCCAAUCCGAACUUCGGGAGGUAGUGACAAAAAAUAUCAAUAGGGGGACCGAUGGUCUUCCUAAUUGGAAUGAAAACAAUCUAAACACCUUAUUAAGGAACCAGCAGAGGGCAAGUCUGGUGCCAGCAGCCGCGGUAAUUCCAGCUCUGUAAGCGUAUACCAAAGUUGUUGCAGUUAAAACGCUCGUAGUCGAACCUUGGCGUGAGUUACGGAGACUCCUAAUGGAUGUUGAAGUAACUCCGCCUUUGUGGAGGGGGGUGUGGUGGUACUUUAUUGUAUUGCUGCGCUUCCGCCACUGUUUACUGUGAAAAAAUUAGAGUGUUCAAAGCGAGCGUUUGCCAUGAAUACAUUAGCAUGGAAUAAUAGAAUAGGACCUGGUCCUGUUUUAUUGGUUUGUCUGUAUCAGGUAAUGAUUAACAGGGACGGUCGGGGGCAUUUGUAUUCCAGCGUUAGAGGUGAAAUUCUUGGAUCGCUGGAAGACAAACAGCUGCGAAAGCGUCUGCCAAGGACGUUUUCAUUGAUCAAGAACGAAAGUAAGGGGAUCGAAGACGAUCAGAUACCGUCGUAGUCUUUACUAUAAACGAUGAUGACUAAGGAUCAGCCGUGGCCUAUUGGUACGGUUGGCACUUUCCGGGAAACCAAAGUUUUUGAUUUCUGGGGGGAGUAUGGUCGCAAGUCUGAAACUUAAAGGAAUUGACGGAAGGGCAUCACCGGGUGUGGAGCCUGCGGCUUAAUUUGACUCAACACGGGAAAACUUACCAGGUCCAGACAUAGUAAGGAUUGACAGAUUGAGAGCUCUUUCUUGAUUCUAUGGUUGGUG
rnacentral:rRNA from 1 species